ensembl:lncRNA
GCUUUCCCUCGCUCUCAUAUGGAGUUCGGAAAGCAAUGCAAGAAUCCAGUCGUGUCAAUUUGAAAAGGCGGCUUUGCAGGGAGUUUUCCACCACAGGAAAGUCUUCAAGAUGAAGGACUUUGCGCUUUAACUUCGCCAUGUCGUAACUCCUGCAUCACGGCCCACCGCUGUCCAGCGUUUUAAUCUGUACAUGGUGUUUUCCUGAAGUGCUGUAGGAACCCUCAGGGUAGCAUUGCAUAAAUCCUGGAGCUCUGCGAUAUCUUGUGUGCGUGUUAAAGUUAUUAUACACCUAUUAUUAUGCUUUUUCAGAUGUCACCUUUCACGUAGUGUGUUAUAGAGCCGUUUGUGAACGUAAAAACGUCUGCAAAGUUUCAAAAAUCAAAGCACAUGACAAACUGAGUUAUUGACUCUCAAAAGAAGGAAGCGAUUCUGAACAGCUGAAACGAGUCGUUAGUCAUUCCACAGUUACUUCCUGUACAGACCUGCGUAGGUUUGUAAUAAAAAGCCCUGCCUCUGGUCUUGAUUUUUUUUCAUAUGGAGCUGAUACUCAUUAUGGUAGUGGGCGUUUCCUUUCUUUUAUAGUUAGUCAAUCCGUACAGGAUUUCGCAACGUGUGUGUGUGUGUGUGUGUGUGUGAGAUUGUUGUGGCCAAAAUGCUUGAUUUUUCUGCUGUUUUUUUCUUUUCUUUUUUUUUUUUCUUUUUUUUUUUUUUUUACAUCUGCGACGCAACCUGCAGGGCAAUUGCACAGAAUUGAGUUGCAUGGUCAGUCCCUCCGGGGUUUUGCAGGUGGCAGAACACAACGCAAAAUCAAGCAAACUUCGCUGCAGAAUUGGGCCGAGACAUGUCAUGUGACUUCAUCACAGUGCGCAGUCACCCAAAACCCCCUACAAUUCGCUUGCGUCAAACAUGAGUCACAUUUACUGACAAAAAUGCCGUUUCGCCAGUUCAAGACAUUUUCUGCAAAAAAAAAGCACCAAAAAAAAAUUGUGCAUCACAAAUUUUGUGAGAGAAAAAGCCGCAGCAAAAUCAAGAACUUUUAGCCAACAAUCACGCAAAAAAAAACUCUGCAAAAUCCUGUACAGUCUGGUAAAUAAGACCUGUUAGCUGUACUCGUGUUCGACACACUUGAAUCGAAGAGGGCUUUGGCUGACCGUGC